GAUGUAUAAAAAGGGUUUAAUGCAUAUAUAAGCUAUCCCAUAAUUUUUGGUUCAUUAUUUGGAGUUGAAAAAGUAUUUUAUUCAAACAGAUAUAUAGCCCUAAAGGCAUUUAUAGGGCAAAUGUAUUUUUAUAUAUUUUAUUUUGAGGGGAAUCUACUCCCAAAAGUUGUAUCAUGGUAGGACAUGAUUUUACAAAUUUUCUGGAAUUUAUUUGGACCAAUUUGGAGUUCAAACUCAAAAGAUAUCAAAGAAAUGAGAAAAACAGAAAAAGAAAAGGUCUAAAAGAAAAAGAAAAGGUAAACCGGACCGGCCCGGCCACUUUGGGCCGAACCGGCCCAGUCUGACCGCGCCCGACCGGCCCCGCC
rnacentral:lncRNA from 1 species